rnacentral:rRNA from 1 species
AGCGGCGGACGGGUGAGUAACGCGUAGGAAUUUGCCCAGUAGUGGGGGACAACAUGUGGAAACGCAUGCUAAUACCGCAUACGCCCUACGGGGGAAAGCAGGGGAUCUUCGGACCUUGCGCUAUUUGCCCAAGUGAGAUUAGCUAGUUGGUAAGGUAAAGGCCCACCAAGGCGACGAUCCGUAGCUGGUCUGAGAGGAUGAUCAGCCACACUGGGACUGAGACACGGCCCAGACUCCUACGGGAGGCAGCAGUGGGGAAUAUUGGACAAUGGGCGAAAGCCUGAUCCAGCCAUGCCGCGUGUGUGAAGAAGGCCUUAGGGUUGUAAAACACUUUCAGUAGGGAGGAAAAGUUAGUCGUUAAUAUCGGCUAAGCUUGACGUUACCUACAGAAGAAGGACCGGCUAACUCCGUGCCAGCAGCCGCGGUAAUACGGAGGGUCCGAGCGUUAAUCGGAAUUACUGGGCGUAAAGCGCACGUAGGCGGUUUUGUAAGUCGAAUGUGAAAGCCCUGGGCUUAACCUGGGAACUGCAUUCGAUACUGCGUAACUAGAGUAUAACAGAGGAAUGUGGAAUUCCGGGUGUAGCGGUGAAAUGCGUAGAUAUCCGGAGGAACACCAGUGGCGAAGGCGACAUUCUGGGUUACUACUGACGCUGAGGUGCGAAAGCGUGGGGAGCAAACUGGAUUAGAUACCCUGGUAGUCCACGCCGUAAACGAUGUCUACUAGCCGUUGGGGAGCUUGCCUCCUUAGUGGCGCAGCUAACGCAAUAAGUAGACCGCCUGGGGAGUACGGUCGCAAGAUUAAAACUCAAAUGAAUUGACGGGGGCCUACACAAGCGGUGGAGCAUGUGGUUUAAUUCGAUGCAACGCGAAGAACCUUACCAGGUCUUGACAUCCUGCGAACUUACUAGAGAUAGUUUGGUGCCUUCGGGAGCGCAGUGACAGGUGCUGCAUGGCUGUCGUCAGCUCGUGUUGUGAAAUGUUGGGUUACGUCCCGUAACGAGCGCAACCCUUAUCCUUAUUUGCCAGCACGUAAUGGUGAGAACUUUAAGGAGACUGCCGGUGACAAACCGGAGGAAGGUGGGGACGACGUCAAGACAUCAUGGCCCUUACGACCUGGGCUACACACGUGCUACAAUGGCCGGUACAGAGGGUUGCCAAACCGCGAGGUGGAGCUAAUCCCAGAAAGCCGGUCGUAGUGCGGAUUGGAGUCUUCAACUCGACUCCAUGAAGCCGGAAUCGCUAGUAAUCGCGAAUCAGAAUGUCGCGGUGAAUACGUUCCCGGGCCUUGUACACACCGCCCGUCACACCAUGGGAGUGGGUUGCAAAAGAAGUGGGUAGACUAACCUUCGGGGGGUCGCUCACCACUUUGUGAUUCAUGACUGGGGUGAAGUCGAAACAAGGUAACC